UCUGGCUCUCCCUUUUAAUCCUGUCUCAAAUGGCACCAAUUGCAAGGACUGCCCCCUUUGCCUAAGAGCAAGCAAGCUCUUUCUUGUCACAGUGAAGCCGGCUGUGACUCUGUCCCAGGCAGGUGCUGUGGGUUGUGUGGAAACUACAUUCAGACACUUCUGAUUUCAAAGCAAACUCUGGAUUCUGAGCAGAGCCUUGAGCUGGUUGCAGCAGUGCUCGUGAGAGUGACGUUGAAGAAUAUAAGUCUGCAGGCUAGAAUUAUGAGCAACCCAGCUGGAAUUUACAUGGCCUCUAGGAAUCAGAACUAAGGGCUUGCUUCUGCAGAGAAAGCUCUUUAACCACCAACCAAUUCAUUGCUGCAUUCCUAGAAGUAGCUGAGUCCUUUAAACUCAGGUUCUGGAGACUAAGGACGAUGCAAGCACCUCACCAGCUGGUCUAGAUUUCCAGGGCCAUUCUGCACACUUUCAAAACUUCCUGCGGUGCUGCAUAGACUGUGCACAUGAGAACAUUCUUAGGGUUGAGAACAUCUCCUUGGAAUGCAAUCUGUUUUGAUAGCAUGUGGAGACUGAUUUGAUAACUCACAGCAGCACACAUGAAUGUUUCAUUCAUUUUUCAUGGGGACAGUAACUUUUUUGGCUUACACAAUGCCCGGCUGCAAAGAGCAGGCCACAUCCAUCAGAGUGACAUACUGCAGAGCAAUGUGUUGCUUGGCACUGGAAGCAUGAAGAUCCGCCCUGUCCUAGAUGCACAGAGCACAUCAAAUAUGGAAGCAAAUGUUACUUGUGAUAGCUGUGAGAAUGUCCUUAGGGGUCU
rnacentral:lncRNA from 1 species